rnacentral:rRNA from 1 species
UAAUACGGAGGAUGCAAGCGUUAUCCGGAUUCAUUGGGUUUAAAGGGUGCGCAGGCGGAAUGAUAAGUCAGUGGUGAAAUCCUACAGCUCAACUGUAGAACUGCCAUUGAUACUGUCGUUCUUGAGUACACUUGGAGUGGGCGGAAUGUGUCAUGUAGCGGUGAAAUGCUUAGAUAUGACACAGAACACCGAUCGCGAAGGCAGCUCACUAAAUUGUAACUGACGCUCAGGCACGAAAGCGUGGGGAUCAAACAGGAUUAGAUACCCUGGUAGUCCACGCUGUAAACGAUGAUCACUCGAUGUUGGCGAUAUACUGUCAGCGUCUAAGCGAAAGCAUUAAGUGAUCCACCUGGGGAGUACGAUCGCAAGAUUGAAACUCAAAGGAAUUGACGG